GAUUAACGCUGGCGGCGUGCCUAAUACAUGCAAGUCGAACGAAGGCUCUGGAGUGGAAGAUUCGUCUGAAGCGCCGGAAGACCUUAGUGGCGGACGGGUGAGUAACGCGUGGGUAAUCUGCCCUUGACAGGGGAAUAACUGGGAUAAGUCCCAGCUAAUACCGCAUAAGCCGACGACACCGCAUGGUGAUGACGGAAAAGCUACAAAGCAGUCAAGGAGGAGCCCGCGUCUGAUUAGCUAGUUGGAGUGGUAAGAGCACACCAAGGCGACGAUCAGUAGCCGGCCUGAGAGGGUGAACGGCCACAUUGGGACUGAGACACGGCCCAGACUUCUACGGUUGGCAGCAGUAAGGAAUAUUGCACAAUGGAGGAAACUCUGAUGCAGCGACGCCGCGUGAAGGAAGAAGGGUUUCGGCUCGUAAACUUCUAUCAGUGGGGACGAAAAAAAUGACGGUACCCAAAUAAGAAGCACCGGCUAACUACGUGCCAGCAGCCGCGGUAAUAC
rnacentral:rRNA from 1 species